CAGCCCUGUUGGAGCAGUUUUGAGACCUGUACACCAUUUAAAGUGGGAGCUAUUCAGCAUGAUAGUUCCUGUGCAGAUCAACCUGCUUGCACGCCGAGAAACGUCCUUUUCAGGACAUCUAAUCAAAAUCAUUUCUUCAUCAAAGUUGUUAAUCUCUGUCUCUUAUAUCUGAUCUCCAAAUUUCAGCCCUGUUAGAGCAGUUUUGAGACCUGUAUAACAUUUAAAGUGGGAUAUGUUCAGAAGCGAAUUUGCUCUGAAUUUCAACAAGAUGUCGAAUGAACCUAGACUCGACUUUCUAAUACUUGACUCCACAAGCUCGGAAUACCAUGGCUGGAUAACCGACGUUGAGAACCAUCUCACUGCAAAAGGGAUAUUGCCCAUAAUACAGGCACCUAUCCAGGGCCUUGUGUUCCAAUGAACACCCACAAAGCAUGCUCAAGUACUUAUCUUGAUGCGACGCCACAUGGAUAAAGCUCUCAGAUUAGAGUACAUGUCGAUCAAGGAUGCAAGUGACAUAUGGGUAGCGCUAGAAGAGCGCUUUGGCAAUAUCCAAAUUCCCUCCUCCCUGACUUGAAGAUUCAGUGGAACAAUAUGUGCCGUGGAGGUCGCACCAUGAGACGUGGUAGUAGCAGCAACCCUCCUAGGGAAUAUCCACAACGUGGACAACCUGCACCUCAAAUGAAGGGAGGUAACCACAAUGACAUGUGUUAUCGAUGUGGAUCAAUUGAGCAUUGGCUCAAGCAAUGCCAUACAAGUACCUAACUAGCUGAAAGCUACAAGGAGUAUAGGCAAUUGAGAGAGCAAGAAACCAAUCUUGCUGAAGAUGAAGAUAUCAAUCUUGCUGAAAAUAAAGAUGGUGAAGAUAACACUCUCACCACUGAGGACUUCAAAGCUGCAAAUAAAGAGCACGAGGAUGCCGCAGACUUUGAU